AGAGUUAAACAGUACGUGAAAUUGUUGAAAGGGAAACGAUUGAAGUCAGUCAUGCUUUCCGAGACUCAGCCGGUUCUGCCGGUGUACUUCUCGGUUUGCAGGCCAACAUCAGUUUCUUCUGCUGGACAAAACUCUUGAGAAGGUAGCAGCUUUGGCUGUGUUAUAGCUCUUGAGCGAUACAGUGGAGGGGACUGAGGUUUUCGCAGCGCGUGCUCUCGGGCAAGGCUGAUUGGGUGCUAUGGGAUCGUUCGGUGUACAAUGCAUGCAUUUUGCGCCGUGUCUUUUCUAUACUCGCUCAACUCGGCUCUUCCGCGCUUAGGAUGUUGGCUUAAUGGUUUUAAUCGACC
rnacentral:rRNA from 1 species